rnacentral:rRNA from 1 species
UACGUAGGGUGCAAGCGUUGUCCGGAAUUAUUGGGCGUAAAGAGCUCGUAGGCGGUUUGUCGCGUCUGCUGUGAAAACGCGAGGCUCAACCUCGCGCCUGCAGUGGGUACGGGCAGACUAGAGUGUGGUAGGGGAGAUUGGAAUUCCUAGUGUAGCGGUGGAAUGCGCAGAUAUCAGGAGGAACACCGAUGGCGAAGGCAGAUCUCUGGGCCGUAACUGACGCUGAGGAGCGAAAGCAUGGGGAGCGAACAGG